rnacentral:lncRNA from 1 species
UCUAUGCUCGGUGAAAGAUUUUAUACAUGUUUUAAAUGAUUUAAACUAUAUAUGUAUUUUAUAUCUACGAAAAUGUUAGGGUAAAACAUGGGUAGAUAUAAUAGAUGAAAUAUGAGUUGAGAGGUGAUAUAGACCAUGAGGUAUGGGUGAGAGGUGUACGAUGUGAGAAGCCUUUUUCCCAAACGAUGUCCCCGUCUAGCAGAGUAUGGAUGACAACCACGGACUAUUCUAGACAGUCCAGUGGAGCACUAGCAGGCUCGCAACCUGUAGGUGUUGUGAACGAUGUGUUCACCCGGUGUACUCUAAACCUUGGUGACCAUGCAGACUUGGUGCCUAAACCUUGGUGAUCAUGCAGACUUGAUGCCUAAACCCUGGCGACUAUGCAGACUUAGUGCCUAAACCCUGGCGACUAUGCAGACUUAGUGCCCGUUGUGUAAACCAUGGCAACGAUGGACUUCGUGCCGAUUCCUUUGGAUGAUCCUUAGGAAUGAAUGAACGAGGAAUAGCUGAUUCUUAGGGUAGAUCCUUAAGAAUAGAGAAUAUAAUGGGGAUGGGUAAUGGGGUUUAAUUGCUUGAUUGUUUAAACAUAAUAAUUAUAUUAUUGUGGGUUGAAAACCCUGUGUACUCACCAGGUUUCCCAACCUGACCCACUCAGUUUAUUUAUAUCACAGGUGUUGAUAUGAAGUCACAUUACACUGAGAGAUUUAAAGAGAUGUAGAUCACUAGUGUAAAUAAAUGUAAGUUCUGUUUAUGCUUAUGUUUCUGUAUUAACGAUGACAUCCCAAACGUUUUAAAAUGAAAUAAAUACGUUUCUUCGAAAAUGUUUUAAUAACGUAUUUACCAUGUUUUUCUGGGAACAAAUUCCGCAACAUUUUUAUAAAAAGAAGUACUCUGAUUUUUAUAAAGCAUAAACAAAAUCGGUCUUUUCUGGCCGUGAAAAUGGGGAUGUCACAGUUGGUAUCAGAGCAUUAGUUUAAGCGAACUAGGAAUUUGUAGGAAAUUUCUAGACUUAAACUUAGAAUGCUAAGUGAUAAUUGUGAGGAGUGUGUCAAAUAGAUUUAAGUAAUACAUCUGAAUAGACACAAGCACUAGCUUAUUUUAGGAAUGAUGCCUAAAUCGCUUUUAUGUGCUAAAUGAUUUGUUAUGCUAUAGUUUGAUCGGAUCUAUGGUCUGUUGCCGACCGGAUCUGGAAACCUUAUGUGUUUAGGAUUCUAAACGUACGACUACGAUAUUAGAACUAGCAUGUAAACGUUUCGGAGUGAUAAGGAUGAUUUAAACGUCAAUCCUAAAUAAAGAUCUAGAUUCACCUUAUUCGGUGUAUAGAUCAAGAUGGCAAGGACCCGUAGCGGAAACGUGAAUACAAAUGGGAACCGAAACCAACCCCCAGUGAUUGAGCAAAUACCAGUUGUGGUGGCCGCUGUUGAGCCAAUAACGAUGGCCAGAGUGCAAGCGAUGAUCCAUGUGUUGUUGGAUCGUCAAAUGGAGGAAACCAGACGUUUGCUCCAGCAAAAUCGAGAGGAAGCGACCAUACAGAUUGAACAGCCCGAGUUGAAGAAGGGCAGACUGAGGAGGGAAACUACAGUGGGACUGUUGGUCAAGCCAACCCACCGAUAGUUAGGCAAAACCACCAGGAUGGAGGAAAUGAUGGACGUGGAUGCAAAUACAAGGAUUUCAUGGCGUCCAAACCACCGAGUCUAUCUAGAAGCCCGAUGCCGGUGGAAGUCAUGAACUGGAUCUCUGAUAUGGAGACGAUGUUUGAGAGUUGCGAGUGUAGCAACAAGCAGAAGACCCCUCUCGCGGUUUCUUUAUUGAAAUCUGGAGUACUAAGGUGGUGGAAGCUACUAGCCAAUUCGAUGCCCAAAGGAGAAGCGAGCAAGAUGUCAUGGGAGGAUUUUUUGGUGCAGUUAAAAAUGCAGUACUGCUCUGAGCGGGAUCUUCUGGAGAUCAACAACGAGUUUCAGAAUCUAAAGAAGGGAAAGAUGAGUGUCAUCGAGUAUGCUGCAAGUUUUACGGAGAAAAUGAAGCUUGUUCCUUAUCUAGUUCCAACUGAACUCUCCAAGGUCAAUAAGUUUGCCCAUGGAUUACCAGCAGACUUUGGUCCAAUGGUCANCAACCACUUUGAAAGCUUCCAUCUGGGCAGCUAGGAAUGUUGAGACCCAGAUUAGGGAAAAGGGUCUGGAGAGAGCUAAAGUUGGCGAGAAAAGGAAGCAUGAAGGAUCUUCAAAAUCCAAUAAGGAAAAGAAAUUCUCAAAGACUGAAAAAGGAGGAGGAGGUGAAACCAAGUAGUGCGAGAAGUGUAAAAAGAAGCACUUCAAGAAAUGUAGCGAGGAGGUGACUUGCUACAAAUGUAACAAGACAGAGCAUUACGCCAGCAAGUGUGCGUCCAACAAGAAGGUGUGUUAUGGAUGAAAAAAGAAGGGCAUAUUUCUAGGGACUGCCCGGGGAAAAAUAAAGCAGUAAGACCAGAAACGCCACCGAGGCCAAGGGCAUUCCACAUGAUCCUCGACGAAGCAGGAAACCGUGCGAGGAAUCAAGGAUGAGGACUUCAUAUUCGAAGAUCAAGUCAUGCAGUAGCCAUAGUAUCGUAUGAUGUAGCCUAUUAGAGGCAUAAUCUAGGGUGAACUUGAACACCUAUGUAAUAGUUUCAAGAAAUAAUAAAACCUUUAUUUUGUUAUCUGAUGUGUUAAGCUGUUAUGUGAUUUUCUUGGAUUAUGACUUGGAAAAAUGCGAGACAAUACUUGGGACGAGUAUAAGUAGGUGUGAAAGGUAGUAGAUGCAUAUACUACCGGAAGCAUAAGACUCACACUUGGAUCAGGGAAAGUCACAAGGUAACCAAGAAGCCAAUAAUUGAUUAUGUUUUAUUCAAGCAUGUCGUUACCAUCGUUUCGGUAAUGACUAAGAAGAUUGUUGUUAUCCCGACCCUAGUGGUCAUAUCGAAUUGAGUCCAACUACAAUAAGUAUGUUACGUGGUUCAGAGAACUAAGUUCGAUGUAGCACCCGUCUUAAGCCGGAAGGAAUAAUCAAAGCGGUCAGUAGAAGUAUCGCGACGGUUGCUAGAUAUGCUACCUUUUAAGAUGUGAUUAGAACAUGAAGGUAGGUAUUUGACUCUAAAAGACCUGAGUCCAAGCAAUACAUCAUACGAUGAGAGGUCAUUAGAACAUGACUCAUAGGUCUAUUAUGAUAAUCGAAGGAAGAAAAUUAUCUCAAGUUUAAAGAAGUCUCCAAUAAAGAUCAAGAUCGUGACAUGAAGAUCAUGACUGAAAGUCUAACAUGAGAUAAAGAGUAGGUCUAAUAUCGGGCACCGCCUGCAGUCAGGAAGUCUUAGAUUUAGAUACUCAUUCGAAGAAACAUCAAUGUUACGAUUAUUACUUAGGGUGAAGAGAUAACGUAUGUAGUCAUCAUGUGAGCCCUGUUUCGUUGAUGGUUUUGGGACGUAAUCAUCCUAAGGGGGAGAUAAUUGCAACGCCCGUAGAUCCAGGCUAGUCAAUUUACAAAUAAUAGGGAUCGAAAAUGAAUUUUCGACAAAAGAUUAUUUAGAAUAAAUAAUUUGAACCAAGUUAUAGUAUAUUUCACAAGGUUUCCAUGCAUAUAAAGAACGCCGAAAUCCGAGUUAUAACGAAGAACUUUUGACUCGUCAAAGUUUCGCGACGGAACCGGCAUGGCACUGGGAAGCGUAAAUAGUGAAUUUAUGAUAGAUCAAGUUUUAGCCUUAGCGAUAUAAAUGAAAAUCAUAGAGCAUGUUAAACUAAGAACAUCGAUAAAAAUAACGCCCAAAUCUGACUUCGUAUGAAGAAGUUAUCAUUUUUCGAAGUUUCGGAUUAGCGGUGUACAGCCCGAAAUUCGAAUAUUAGAUCGAGUGAUUUUUAGCCGACACGACCUAAACGAGAAUCGAAGAUCUUGUUAAGAGUAGCGUAACGAGAAAAAGAUGGGCAAAAACGGACGUCGGAUGAAGAAGUUAUGAGGAUUUAACGGACCAAUCAUGUCCCGGCCUGUUAAUAAUAUAAAAUUUAAAAAUCGAGUCAAAAUUAGCCGACGGAGUCUAAACGAAAGUUGUCGAGUACGUUCCCACCUUCGUGUGGAUAUAAAGAACGUCAAAAAUGGAGACCGUACGCAAAAGUUACGAAUUUUUAAAUUUGAGUGUGCAAUCUGCAAAGCCUGAUAAGAACUUGGUGACGUGGCGCGUUGUGGGCCGUCCAUCGUUGAUCAAAGGACGCUUCGGAUUCGGACAUGCCACCCUUCGCUACGCCCCGCGUCCGAGGUUGGUAUGCCCAGCGUACCUUCGCGCCUUAUCCAUUCGACGAAGAUGCGAGACAGCUAGACCGAGGCUAGCAUUCUUAUCCGAGCACUACGCCGAGCGUAGCCAAGGACUACGCCCAGCGUAAUCCGAGGCCUCGUUGGGUACAAAAGGGGGACGAGGGUUCCGCAUUUUUCACAACUUUCUUCACUCUCUCUCUAACUUCUUUCUCUCUCUAAGUUUCCUAAACACUCCUAAACCCUAGGGAAUCUCCCUAGCACGCGAAGGAAGCCCCGAGGCUCCCGGAGUCCCGAGAAAAAGGGUCUUUCGGUUUCGAAACGCUGCUCCAAAUAAAGUUUCGGUUUUCGAUAAAAUUCAUUGUAAGUGAGCUACGCUUACGCAAUUUUUAACAUAGCUUCCAAAUAAUUAUAGUAAUGUUAUUAGGUCCUUAAAAUAAUUAUUUGGGCUAUUAUUAUGAGUUAUAUUGAGUGUUAUUUAAUGCUUAUAUAAUAAUAAUAAUAAUAAUAAUAAUAAUAAUAAUAAUAAUAAUAAUAAUAAUANNNNNNNNNNNNNNNNNNNNAUAAUAAUAAUAAUAGUCAGACUAUUAAUUUGUCGCGGUUAUCGUUAGACUAAACCCUAGUGGUGUUGAUACUAGGUUUUAUCGAAGGAAAAUUGUUUUGAGAGUAUCGAAGCGUUGUCCGAGUGCUGAGUCACCACCUUUCAGGUGAGUGCAUGGUCCCCUUCAACUUACACAUAGAUAUGAAGUAUUUACUACGUGCUAUGUGUGCAUAUUGUCUGUUUACUUGCUGUCUAUGCUCGGUGAAAGAUUUUAUACAUGUUUUAAAUGAUUUAAACUAUAUAUGUAUUUUAUAUCUACGAAAAUGUUGGGGUAAAACAUGCGUAGAUAUAAUAGAUGAAAUAUGAGUUGGACGAUGAGUUGAGAGGUGAUAUAGACCAUGAGGUAUGGGUGAGAGGUGUACGAUGUAAGAAGCCUUUUUCCCAAACGAUGUCCCCAUAAUGCAGAGUAUGGAUGACAACCACGGACUAUUCUAGACAGUCUAGUGGAGCACUAGCAGGCUCGCAACCUGUAGGUGUUGUGAACGAUGUGUUCACCUGGUGUACUCUAAACCUUGGUGACCAUGCAGACUUGGUGCCUAAACCUUGGUGAUCAUGCAGACUUGAUGCCUAAACCCUGGCAACUAUGCAGACUUAGU